UGACCCCUAUUGCCUAGCCCUUACCUCUCUUCUGCCUUGGAACCAAUAUGCAGUAUUGACUCUGAGACAGAAGGUAAGGGUUAAAAAAAAAAGACUAUAAAACUAGCAGACCUGGAACUAAAAACUAGGGCAGGGGACAAGGAUUCCUUUGGAUUACAAUUGAGAAUGAAUUCUUCAGAACGGCUACCCGUUCUAGCUCUGGAACAAGCCAGAAAUCCCUGGAAAGCAGCCCACGGUCAUGAUAUGAGAGCCCCAAAAGAAAGCACAAGGGUGAUCCCCAAUUCCCCAGCAAGAGAAGAUGUGGGCUGUUGCUCUUCACCUCCAUGACCCCACAGCCCACCACGAUCCAUGAGGUUUUCUUGGCAAGGAUAGCAGAGCAGUUUGCCAUUUCCUUUUCCAGUGGGUCCGCGACAAGGGAAGCGACAGUCCCACUGUUCUCAGUUCUGGUCAGAGCGCCGCACUAGAAUUUUUCUAUUGCCUUUUAGACCCACAGGGCGGGGAGCAAAGGGACACACUGGAGCCUAGUCAAAGGCCGCUGCUCGAGAUGCUCACGGGACUUUGGCCUGGGAGGAUUGGUGGGAGGAACUUCAGAUGUUUAACCAGGAAAUGGGCAGACUGGGGGAGGGAAGGCAUGGUGGCUGUUUCAAAUUAUGUGAAGGGUUUUCAUGGGAGAGGAGGAGGAUUAGGCUUAUUUUCCUUAGUUCCCGAGGGCACAACCAGGAGGAAAUUGCAAAGAGGCCGACUGCAGCUUGGCGGAAGCUGAAACUUUCUAAUAAUGGGCAGCGUUGGGAAGGAGGCCUUCAGGUACACACGGAGCCACCCUGCGGCAAGGCUCCCCUGCCAGAGCUCUCCCCUACUCUCUCUCCAAGCUGCUAGUGAGGUACCAGCUCCCUGCUUGUCCGGCGCUAAAAUGGGGCCAAGAUCGCCGAGGGGCCUGCUAACGUCCCUUCUGUGCGCUAAAUCCCAUGCCUUAUUAUUUCCUGGGGAAUCUUUCACACACCAAGAGGCUCCUACGUCCACCAGCUUCACCUGGUGGUGUCCAUUUCCCGCUGAUUAAGUUCUCCCAUCUCCAGAAUCUGAUCUUCUGCCAUGAUUUCCAGCUUCCCUAGCAUUCUAGUUGCUUUCUGGCUAAUCUCCUCCAGUGAGGCAUCCAGACCAGAGCACAAAGGGGAUGGGAGGGAGGAAACAGCUAUUUGCGGAGCACCUACAAUGAGCCAGAUAGUGUGCUAAGUGCUUUACAACUAUUAUCUCAGUGGAUCCUCUCAUCGUCCUAGGAGAGAGGGGCUAUUAUCGUCUCUACUUUACAGAAAAGGAAACUGAGGCAGAAAGAGGCUAAGUGACUUGCCCAAAGUCACACGGGUAGGAAGUGUCUGAGACCACAUUUGCACACAGGUCUUUCUGAUCCUAGGCCCAGCACUCUAAUCUACUGUGAUACCCAAUGGCUUGGGCAGAGAGCCUAGGACCAUUGUUCUAACCAUUAACUCUUGUGUUCUGGAUGAUAUAUUUCUACUAACCUCAACGGCAGUAGCAGUUGUCCUUCUAGGCAUCAGACUACAAAGACAAUCCACUGGGUGCUUUUUGUCCAUGGGGAUGGAAGCCUGAGGCCCCACAUGAACUACGUUCGAGCGAUGCCAUUUUCUCCCUCCCUGACAUCAAUUAUUUGAGCCCAAGCAGAGGCCCUCUCCAUUUAUCUCCAUUAAAAUGUCAUCUAGCUUGCUUCCUUCCAUACACCUUUCCACUCUCCAAAUAUUAUUUUUGGCACUCAACAUUAUUAUUCCUCCAUCAUCCCCAAAUUAGAUAAAUAAACCAUCCAUGAGGUCAUGCUACACCUUCCAGGAUCAAACAUCAAUCCCUUUGGCAAGUACAAUUCUUCACAAUCUGGUCCUCUCCUUCCUUUCUGGUCCCCCUUGCUCUCUACAAACCCCGUGAGCCAGCUAACUGGCUCUACUGUCCUACUGGCAGGUUCUGGUUUCUCAGACAAACUCCAUCUCCCCUCUCCAAGUCUUUGUUCCCCUGCCAUUUAAGUCCAGAAUGCUCUUUGCUCUCAGUCUAACGCUUGGAAUCCCUGCCUUCUUUUAAGGCUUGGCUCACACUCUACCUUCUUUUUAUAUGAUACGUUUUAAAACAUUGGUAUUUGGAAUAUUUUGUCAUGGUUACAUGAUCCAUGAUGCUCCCCCUCCUUCCCCUCCCAAAGGCAAUAAGUAGUUCUACUAGGUUAUACAGGUAUCAUUGUUCAAAACCUAUUUCGAUGCGACUCAUAUUUGCAGUAGAGCGAUCCUCUAACAUCAAACCCUAAUCACAUCCCUGUGGCAUGACGUGGUUGAUCAUAUGUUUUUCUUCUGUGUUUCUGCUCCCACAGUUCUUUCUCUGGAUGUGGACAGCGUUCUUUCUCAUAAGUCCCUCAGAAUCGUCCUGAAUCAGGGGCAACUGGGUAGCUCCGUGGAUUCAGAGUCAGACCCAGAGACAGGAGGUCCUGGGUUCAAAUCUGGAUCCAGACACUUGCCAGCUGUGUGACCCUGGGCAAGUCACUUAACCCCCACUGCCCACCCUUACCACUUGUCUGCCUUGGAGCCAAUACCCAGUACUGAUUCGAAGAUGGAAGGGAACACAGUGACUCAUAGGGGGGAAAAAACAAACUCAGGGUGGAAGGAGCCUGUAUCUGAGACACAAACAGAUUUCCUUCUCCAGCUGCAUUCCAGCAUGGAGCUGGCUCUCUGCAUGAAGCUACUUGUCAAGGAUAGCAGCCAGCUCUGUACGCAGGCAGGUCUGCAGCACCCCCUUGUUGGAGGCACCAAACAGGAAGGACGGCGACGGGUUCAAUACUGUUUCGUGUAAAUUGCGCUCUUGUGCUCACCUCCCGGAGAAGGACCACAGCUGUGGGAGGGACCGGCGGGAUGUAGAUGGGUGCACACACCAGCCGUCCCACUGGGGAGAAAAUCCAUCCAUUAUUCCGUACAGAAACAGGAAAAGCACCACACUCCCGAGCCAGCCUGCCGCGGGGAAGUCACAACAAGAGUGCGUCAGGAGUCUGGCAGGUCAGAGAUACAGGAAAGCAUCACGCUGGAAAGACUUUCAUGGACUGAUGCAGAGUGAAAUAAGCAGAACAGGGAAACGUUGCAUAAGGUGUGGAGCAAUCAAAUGUGACAGACUUGGCUACUCUCAGCAGUGCAAUGAUCCAGGACAUUUCGGAAGGCCUUCUGACAAAGAAUGCUCUCCAUCUCCAGAGGAAGAACUCUGGGAGUCGGUGCAGAUGAAAGCAGCCGAUUUAUCACUUGCUUAUUUGGGUUUGUUUUGGGGUUCUGUUUACUUACAAAAAUAAACACUAUAGAUUAAAAAAAUAAAAUUUAAAAAUAAACAAAACUACACAUUAAAAAAAAUCUAUUUUUUAUCCUCACAACAACUCUGGGAGGUAGGCGUUACUAUUAUUAUUUCCAUUUUACAAAAGAGGACCCUGAAACAAAAGUCAAGUGACUUGUUCAGGGUCUCACAGCCAGGAGGUAUCUGAACUUGAGUCUUCUAUUCAUUACACCCACUUGUUGUUUCCCUCAGGUCAGGGAAGCUCGGGCUUAAGCUUUGCCUACAACAUGUGAGCUGUGAGACCACAAUCACAAGUCAAGAUCAAAACUAGUAAGUACAGAGAUUUUGCUAAUCUGCAUUCUUAGAGGGAAUUUCCACACUGGGAGCAUCUUGGACUGAUGAACCCCCUGUCCAGUCUUCACUCCUAUCAGAAAUUAAAAUCAUGGAAAGGAAUGUUCAGGGCAUUCAUAUUCCAGAAACUAAUCAUGAUUUUUAAAAAUUAACAAACACAACAAAUGUAACAAAAUAAAAAUUAAGACAAAGUAGGAGCUCCUACACCGUUUUCUCUGACUUGACA